AGAGAGUACGGAGCUACAGGAGCCCAGGUACUCGCCCCUCUCCAGGCGCCUGUUCGAUCUUUGGGUUCACCACUCGGGCGCCUUCACCGCCCCACCUCUCUUGAGCACCUGCGUCCUCCCCCAGACGUUUCUGUGCACCUGAACCGGGACCAGAGGAGGGCGCGAAUUUCCAAAGCACCACAGAAGGAAUGAGAUGGCCUUCUCAAUGAGAACCAUUCGAGGCAAAACACUCUCCAAGUGACCUCUGACCGCCUUGGCAAAGCUAGGCGACUGGGAUCUAAAAGCGUUGGUUGCUAAUGUGUCCACGGAAGCCGCAAAUGUGUAGGGCGAAAGCUGGGCUAUUAACAAGCCUACGCCACAAGGGAGGCGUCGCCACGGAUGUAGUGAUGCCAAGACGUCUUGGGGCGGGGGUGGGGGGGGUGGGGGGUGGGGGGGUGGUGGAAGGAAGUAAAGAAUGUUUAAGAGGGUCACGCCCUCAGCCCCUCAACCUCUGUAAUCAGUCUCUUUCUGCCCUGUGGUUUGUAGAUGCACCUGCCCAGGUGAGACCUCAAAGAAAAAUAACCCUGUGGGUGCAUCUAAUCUGAGUCAUUAUGAAGAACAGGUUUGCAUCCUUGGGCUGAGGAAGAAGAACGAUAUUAGACUAUUUCUGCUUGAUUCAUUAUCUCCCUAGAGAAAUUCAGCACUUCUAGUCUUGCUCAAUAUCACUCUAUGUUCCUUUACUAGUCCUCUUUCCUAAAUUUCCUCCCUUGAAUGGGAAAGAAUGGAUGUCAGCCAAGGGAGGAGUCAGAGAGGAAGACGCACUUUCAUACAAACAGGUACGGAGAUGAAACAAAAGGUAGAGAUAAAGAAAAGGAGAGAGAAGAGAGAAGACACAUCUUCAAGAGAAUAUUGAGCCAUGGUGCUGCGGCAUAAACCUCCAGUAAGUCUAAUCUAGUAAAGGCAUUAAUAUGUGUGAAGAAUUCCAUUUCUUUCUCAAAAGGAAAAGAGGGAACAAGAGCUUCUCAGAGAGACAUCAUGGUCAGGAAGAUGGGAACAGUGUUUAUUUGUUUGUAAGUUUCACUCAGGCUUGCAAUGACUGCAUAACUAAUCUUGACUUCAAGAAAGGUCUAUACAUUUCUAAAGUUGGGUAAGGGAAGCAUCCACAAGUACUCUUCAAAAGUGAAAUAAUAGCAGCAAAGAAGGAAGGAAAGAGAAGAAGGAAAGAAAGAGGGAAAGGCCAGUCAUUAAUUAGAAUACCUGUCUUCUACUAUUAAAAUAUUGGAUAGAGAAAUGAAUACAUUCUAUAAAAAGUAGCAAAAAGAGAAAAAUUUGUCAAAGCACAGUAGAACUGUGAGCACACUUCAAAGGAUCCAAGGCAUUCAUUAACUUCUCAGGACUGGUAAUCCUGACCCUGUAACUCAAUGGAGCCAUGUGACUAGUUUGGGCCAAUGAGUUGUGAGGCAAAGAUGAAGCAUGAGAGUACCUGUCUGGCACAAGAUUCUCCAGAGCUCUUCAUCUCUGCCACUGGGACCAGCACUUUUCCAGAGAGUGAGCCCUUCAGUUUGGAUUCAGAAUAAGAACAAUCCAGAACAAAGAUCCACCUGGAUUCAUAAUAGACAGUUCAUUUAGUAGCCCACUCAAGAAAGCAAAAGGACGAGGGGAAGAGACUGAAGAGUCCCCAGGAGCUGGAAAGUUAUUGAAUCAGUGUGACCAGGAGAUGACAAGAACUCUGCCUCUUGUGUCUGAGAUACGCUGUUGACUGGAUCUUACAUCCAAGCUUUACUCUGCUUUUCAUUCCCUCUCCUCUGUACAGAAGUCGCCCCAUCGCCACUAGCAUUCCAGUUGGACCUCAGGAGCCUAAAGGUAUGGGCACCUCAUACUGAUGGCGAGGCGUGUAUAUCCGUAUUUGAGGACAGAAAGCAGCCUACAAGUCCACAUGGAUAAGAGUGCUUAGCAGCUGCAAGAAUCUGGCCACCUACUGAUUUAAUUAUCUCACCCAUGCAACAUCUGUUUCUGGAAAGCAAAUCUAAUGUCCCUUUGCAGAGCUAAACCUAGUGAGGAAGCCUCAAGUAAGUGCGGUGUAAAUAGUUCGUGAUGUUUCUGCUGUAAAUUACCUAGAAGACAUGGUGUCCAGGCGAUCACAAGAUAUAAGAGAUUCAAGAACACUCAGGAAAUGAAAGCAAGCCCAAAACCGACAUUUUCAGAACAAGAAGAACUGGCCUGGAGAAUGUUCCAUUAAUAGACUCCCUUUCUGUGGCCAGUUACCUAAGUGGGUAAUAUCUCUAAUUCAUGGCUUCUAAAUAUGGGGUCCUUGGAUCCCUAAAAUCCAUGAAAUGGUAAGCAAAAUUGUGUGUAUAUGUAUUUAUGUGCAUUUUCUUGGGGAGAAAAUGACUCUGCUCAGAUUUUCGAAAAUAAUUACUAAAUUCAAAAAGGCCUCGAAUAAUGGGGUUUAGUUUCUAGCUAGCAAUUUACACGUGUACUUAGUAUGCCAAACACCGAAUGGGAAAAACAAGUCGUCUUGAAUCAAGGGCAAUACCGGGCAGGAAAAGAUGUCAAGGUCAGGCUGGAAGAGUAAUUAAGUUAACCUCUGAGUGGCAUUUAUCAUCCUGGAUUUGUCUACAAGACUACUUUUCUGUUUAAGGAAUAUAUUGCUGCUCUGACCCUCCUUUGGCCUUUUUGGAGAAAAACAUUCUUUUAAAACUGGAAUCACUGCAUUGAAUACUAAGUCCAUCCUUCUGUCCUUCAAAAACCUGUUACCAAAAUCUGUAUCUAUGAACCUAGUUAAGCAGCCCCUUUGGGAAUGAUGGUCACAUUCCAUGUCGAAUUUUUGGACUGGUGAUCCAUUUACUCAUUUCUGCCUUAAAUCAUUUAGUCACUCAGGAACAAGUUGAGAUUGGGAUUUAGGCGAGGGUCAGGAGUAAGGGCAGGGUUACUAGAUGAUAUUAAAAUUUAAGAAAAGUGAUAAACCUCAGAAAGAUGGAUUAUGUUAAAGGAUGGGGUAAGUCUUGGGCGCCUGGGUGGCUCAGCCAAUUGAGUGUCUGAUUCUUGAUUUUGGUUCAGGUCAUGAUCCC